rnacentral:rRNA from 1 species
AAAACGACUCUCGGCAACGGAUAUCUCGGCUCUCGCAUCGAUGAAGAACGUAGCGAAAUGCGAUACUUGGUGUGAAUUGCAGAAUCCCGUGAACCAUCGAGUCUUUGAACGCAAGUUGCGCCCCAAGCUUUCUGGCCGAGGGCACGUCUGCCUGGGUGUCACAA